CACACCCACACUUCUGGGUUUUAUAACCCCUCCCCCUCCCACCAGAAAAGGUGUGGCUUUCAGGGCGUGAUUGACAGGAGAGAGAUUCUCAACAUUUUUUAAACACUAAUAACACUUUUAUUUUUCAUUGAUGGGAAGAAUUCUCUGCACCUGCUCAGCGGAGGGGGGACUGAGAAAGAUGGCCAAAAAUCACAACCUUCAGCCAUUCAAAGUUCCUGGACCUAUAAGAGGUGGCUCCAUCUUGGAUCAAGGUCGAUCUUCUGGAGGAACGCUUGGGACUGCGUGACCUUUUGGAGUGUGUCUGCUUGCACGAGGCUGAAGGGCUUGGCCAGGUUGAGAUAAGGAUCGAAUAGGGGAAUUUGCUGUUCAAUCAAAAAAUAAAGUUUAGUUGUUCCAGU